AAAUUAAUAACUAUGAAAGGCAUUACACACUUCUUGCUUGUUUUCAUUCUGUACGCUAUGCUUUCCUUGGCCAAAGGAAGAAGAUUCUUCGCGUUUAAGAACAUAGAAACUACAUCCCAAAGAGUUGUAACUGAAUCUGAAUUAUGGAUUUAUUUCAGGUCCGGUAGAACUAUAUUAAUUUAGAGAAGUAAAGAUUUUCUAAAAAAGAGUGACUCGCGCACCGAGGGUUGUUCAAACUUUACAAAAUUAACUUUAUCGUUCGAUCUCUAAACACGGUUAGGCACCAACCGCAAAUAAUAAGUUUGUAAUAGUAAAAACUUUUUUUUUAGUAAAGUACAUAUUUAUGGA